AUUGAACGCUGGCGGCAUGCCUUACACAUGCAAGUCGAACGGUAACGCGGGGCAACCUGGCGACGAGUGGCGAACGGGUGAGUAAUACAUCGGAACGUGCCCAGCAGUGGGGGAUAGCCCGGCGAACGCCGGACUAAUACCGCAUACUACCUACGGGUGAAAGCGGCGGGUCGCAAGACCUCGCGCUAUUGGAGCGGCCGAUGUCAGAUUAGGUAGUUGGUGGGGUAAAGGCCUACCAAGCCUACGAUCUGUAGCUGGUCGGAGAGGGCGACCAGCCACACUGGGACUGAGACACGGCCCAGACUCCUACGGGAGGCAGCAGUGGGGAAUUUUGGACAAUGGGCGCAAGCCUGAUCCAACCAUGCCGCGUGCGGGAAGAAGGCCUUCGGGUUGUAAACCGCUUUUGUCAGGGAAGAAACGCUCUGAGUUAAUACCUCGGGGUAAUGACGGUACCUGAAGAAUAAGCACCGGCUAACUACGUGCCAGCCGCCGCUGUAACAC
rnacentral:rRNA from 1 species